GAUGAACGCUGGCGGCGUGCCUAAUACAUGCAAGUCGAGCGAACAGACGAGGAGCUUGCUCCUCUGACGUUAGCGGCGGACGGGUGAGUAACACGUGGAUAACCUACCUAUAAGACUGGGAUAACUUCGGGAAACCGGAGCUAAUACCGGAUAAUAUAUUGAACCGCAUGGUUCAAUAGUGAAAGACGGUUUUGCUGUCACUUAUAGAUGGAUCCGCGCCGCAUUAGCUAGUUGUUAAGGUAACGGCUUACCAAGGCGACGAUGCGUAGCCGACCUGAGAGGGUGAUCGGCCACACUGGAACGGAGACACGGUCCAGACUCCUAAGGGAGGCAGCAGUAGGGAAUCUUCCGCAAUGGGCGAAAGCCUGACGGAGCAACGCCGCGUGAGUGAUGAAGGUCUUCGGAUCGUAAAACUCUGUUAUUAGGGAAGAACAAAUGUGUAAGUAACUAUGCACGUCUUGACGGUACCUAAUCAGAAAGCCACGGCUAACUACGUG
rnacentral:rRNA from 1 species